rnacentral:tRNA from 1 species
GAGGGUGUAGCUUAGUGGUAGAGCGUGUGCUUGGCAGGUGCACGAGGUCCUGGGUUCAAUCCUCAGUUCCUCCA